AUGCUUACUUCAACAGCAUAUGUACUAAAAAUUGGAAUGAUACAGAAAUUAGUAUGGCUCCCAUGUAAGGAUGGCAUGAAAAUUCAUGAAGCAUUCCAUUUAAGA
ensembl:snRNA U6 U6 spliceosomal RNA